GUUAUUAUACUCAGUUUUUCCCUUUCACUCUUUGUGGUAUAGAUAUGUGUAUGCAUUUUUGGUUGUAAUGAAUGGUUAUUAAUAAAAAAUAAGGAGUUCGAGAAUCUCAGCAUUUAUAUUUCUGAGAUAUAUUUAUAUUUAUAUUUAUAGCUGUGGGUUAGCUAUAAAAACUUAGACACAGUGGUAAAGUGAAGUCAAAUACAAAAAUGACUGAAGUAAUAAACUUGAUUACCUUUGGGUAAUUAUUUCAUUCAUCAGGUCAUAAAACUAAGCUUUUAAUAUUUUCUGUGUUCCUUUUAUGAUAUAACUUUUCUUUUGCAUUCCAAGUUUUAAAACCUUUUCAUCCUACUAAUUUCUCUCAUCUUGCAUAAGGACCCACCAGAAUAGAAAUGAUCUCUGAGGCUCAUAUAACAGAAUCUCAUUCUGGUGAGAUCUUUGCUCUUAUCUGGAUUCUAGGUUGGAAUACAAUUUUAGGAAAAGAUCCUUCAGGUAAUUUUUUUUAAGUGGAUAGACAGGGAAGACUCACAUGAAAAGCCUUGUUGCAUAGCAUAAAGCAUCCAUUUGCUUUGUGGCCCUUGUAGAAAGGAAAUUUUCUGUUUGUCUAAUAUAAACUUGAGACUUGGAGUGAUCACUGCAUUGAAUGCUGUCCUUCCCAGUGUCUAUGUUAAAUUCUUAUUCUAUUCAGUUCCAACAUAAUCAAUAUUCUGCAUAUAAGAGGAACUUUCACAUUUGUUUCAUUAGCCAUUAGAUAAACUCUGUAUUUGCAUCAUUCUAGGGCAGUGGUUCUUGCCAUUAUGAAAUCUGUAUUGAAUUCACCCACAUGGCACAGCUGUAAAGAAUCCACCUGCCAAUACAGGAGAGACCUCCCUGCCUGCUGCCUUAUGCAUAGAAGAGACUCUCAAAAAAGCAGAGGAAAUCCACACCAGCUCUAGAGAGAAAAGCUACUCUCUUUUUUAUUCAAAAAUAUCUACCAGAUAUAUGACAAGAAACAAAAGAGUGAUAAAACAAACAGAAUAAUUGUCCUUGGAAGAGACAGACUAAUUAAGGAACAGAAAAGAAUAUAUGAAAACUUUAGGAAAGUUUCAAGAAAAUGACAUCUGGAAAAUAACGGGAUGCAUUAAAAUAGCAACAUCAAAGAGUAAGGAAGAACUCUUGAAAACUAGGGAUUGUUUGCUGAAAUUAAAAUAAUUAAAUGGAAAUCUUGAAAGUGAAUAUUAGAAAUUUCCUAUAACAGUGCAAAAAGAGAGGCACAAAACGUAUAGGCAAAGAGACAGGCUCAGUCAAGUUCGUCUAAUAUCUGAAUACUUGGAAUUCCAGAAGAUACAGCAGAGUAAAUGAGGAGAUGAAAAUACCAAAUAAAUAAUAGAAGCCUCUCUUGUGCUCUGGGAAAUAAUCCAAACCUUUGGACUGACAAGUUCUGAGGACCCAGCAAAAUGGAUGGAGGCAAUAUUCUUGUGAAAUUUAAGAACACUAAGUAUAAAGAAAAAAUCCUAGAGAGAUCUUUUAGAGAGACAUCUAGAGAGAAAAGGGAGAUUGUCAAGUCACCAUUAAUCUUUUAACACUUCUUUGCUUUCUGGUCCAGUAAUGUACUUCAGCCUCUGCCCAUACUGUUCCUACCCUAGACCUGGAGUCCACCAUUUUCUAAGCAU
ensembl:lncRNA